GCGCCUAUAGUUCAAUGGAUAGAGCGCCAGCCUCCGAAGCUGGUAAUGCAGGUUCAACUCCCGCUAGGCGCA
rnacentral:tRNA from 1 species